GGCCCCGUAGCUCAGUGGAUAGAGCAGCGGUUUCCUAAACCGUUGGUCGGCAGUUCAACUCUGCCCGGGGUCGCCA
rnacentral:tRNA from 1 species